UACGUAGGGAGCAAGCGUUGUCCGGAAUCAUUGGGCGUAAAGCGCGCGUAGGCGGCUCGAUCAGUCUGUUGUGAAAGUCAAAGGCUCAACCUUUGAAUGCCGAUGGAUACUGUCGAGCUAGAGUCCGGAAGAGGCGGGUGGAAUUCCUGGUGUAGCGGUGGAAUGCGCAGAUAUCAGGAGGAACACCAACGGCGAAGGCAGCCCGCUGGGACGGUACUGACGCUGAGACGCGAAAGCGUGGGGAGCGAACAGG
rnacentral:rRNA from 1 species